GUGCACCAGGCGAGAAUCCUUCGCAAUGCAGGAAACUGCGACGAGGGAACUCCAAGUGCCUACGCUCAGCGUAGGCUGUUCUCAAGCCUAGAAAGCUUGAGGAGUAAGGGCUGGGUAAGACGGGUGCCAUCUGUGGUAGCAGUCAAUAGAUUCGAUUUGUUACUGCAAGGCAUAAGCCGCCGCGGUAAUACCCGCAGCCCAAGUGGUGGCCGCUUUUAUUGGGCCUAAAGCGUCCGUAGCCGGCCCGGUAAAUGCCUGGGUAAAUCGUGGAGCCCAACUUCACGAAUUCCGGGUAGACUGCCGAGCUCGGGACCGGAAGAGGGAGAGGGUACUUCAGGGGUAGGGGUGAAAAUUUCCUUUCCAUUAACGCUUUUGCGCGAAGCGGAAAGGGUUAUCACAAUCCUGUAAUCCCUGGAGGACCACCCGUGGCGAAGGCG
rnacentral:rRNA from 1 species